rnacentral:rRNA from 1 species
GAUGAACGCUGGCGGCAUGCCUAAUACAUGCAAGUCGAGCGGACGCAGGACGGUCGCGCUCCUGUUACGUGCGCGCCGGACGGGUGAGGAACACGCGUAUGCCCUUUAUAUAGGACUGGGGUAACGUCGGGGGACCGGAGAUAUUAUACGACGAUAUAUAGAACAGCAUGGUUCAUUAGUGAUUAACGGUUCUGCUGUCCCUUAUAGACGUAUGCGCGCUGGAUUAGUUAGUUGGUAAGGUAACGGCUUACCAAGGCAACGAUUCGUAGCUGAACUGAGAGGAUGAUCAGCCACACUGGAAGUGAGACACGGUCCAGACUCCUACGGGAGGCAGCAGUGGGGAAUCUUCCACAAUGGGCGAAAGCCUGACCGAGCCACGCCGCGUGGGUGAUGAAGGUCUUCGGAUCGUAAAACUCUGUUACUUGGGAAGAAGAAGAGUGUAAGGAACUCUGCCUGUGUUGACGGUACCUAAUGAAUAAGCACCGGCUAACUACGUG